GACGAACGCUGGCGGCGUGCCUAAUACAUGCAAGUAGGACGCAGUUGCGAACGGAUGAGUAACGCGUAGGUAAAUACCUAUUAACGGGGGAUAACUAUUGGAACCGAUAGCUAAUACAGCAUACUAGUAGAUGGACCUGCGUUGUAUUAGCUAGUAGGUAGGGUAAAGGCCUACCUAGGCAACGAUACAUAGCCGACCCGGGAGGGUGAUCGGCCACAACUGGAACGGGACACGGCCCAGACUCCCACGGGAGGCAGCAGUAGGGAAUCUUUGGAAAAGGGGGGAAAGCUUAACGAGCCAAUCCGGGGGAGAGAAGGAGGGCUUCGGAGCGUAAAGCUCUGUGGUUUAGGAAGCGGUACUUAAACAGAAAGGGACGGCUAACUACGUGCCAGCAGCCGCGGUAAUAC
rnacentral:rRNA from 1 species